rnacentral:rRNA from 1 species
AUGGGAUCCCAGCCGGGGCCCUCCCGCGCGGCCCUGGAGCCCUUCGCGACGCUGGACCCGGCGGCGCUGGCCUCCCUCCCGGCCUCCACGCCCCUCACCGUCCGCUCCGCCGCCCUCUCCGCGCCGAGCCUCCUCUACAUCGGCACGGGCGGCGGGAAGCUCCUCCUCUUCUCCCUGGCGACCCCCUCCUCCCCCGAGUUCCUCCGCCUGCUCCCCAUCGGCGCCACCCGCCCCGUCUCCGCCAUCUUCCCGCUCCCCUCCGUCGCCCGCGUCCUCGUGCUCGCCGACGGCAUGCUCCUCCUCGCCGACCCGCUCCUCGCGCGCCCCGUCCGCCGCCUCGGCUCCCUCCGCGGCGUCGCCGCCGUCGCCGCCUCCCCACCCGCCUCCUCCCAGUCCUCGUGCUCCCUCGCCGUCGCGGUCGGGAAGAGGCUGCUGGUCCUCGACCUCGCCCUGCGCGAGGCGGACGAGCUGGAGGUGCAGACGCGCGAGAUCGCCGCGGGGGUCGAGGGGAUCAGCGCGCUCGCCUGGGUGGGCGAGGACUCGGUCUUCGCCGGCACCGCGUCGGGGUACUCGCUCUUCUCCUCGAGCGGCGGCGCGGGCCAGCGCACGGACAUAUUCACCCUCCCGGAGUCGGCCGGGGCGCCGAGGAUCAGGCCGCUGUCGGGCGGCCAGGAGGUGAUGCUGCUGGUGGACAAUGUCGGGGUGGUCGUCGACCAGUCCGGGCAGCCCGUCGGAAGCAGCUUCGUGUUCAACAGCAGGCCCGAUUGCAUCGUCGAGGUGUUCCCGUAUGUGGUGGUCGCCGCGGAGUCCAAGGUGGAUGUGUACAGGAGGAGGAAUGGGGUGCACUUGCAGACCGUUCCGAUCGCGAGGAGAGGCACGGGUGUUCUGACCGUGGCGAGCGACGGUGAUGGAAGCGGCGGGGAGGUCGUUGUGGUCGCUACGGCUUAUAAGGUUUUUUGUUACCGUAAAGUAUCUGCAGUGGAACAGAUCAAGGCGUUGUUACGAAUAAAGAGUUAUACAGAGGCUAUUUCUUUGCUGGAAGAGUUUGAAUCUGAUGGUGAAAUCUCGAAUGAUAUGAUUUCCUUUGUGCAUGCACAACUUGGAUUCUUAUUAUUCUUUGACUUGCGCUUUGAGGAUGCUGUUAAUCAUUUCUUGCUGUCGGAGACUAUGCAACCAGCAGAAAUAUUUCCAUUCAUCAUGCGGGAUCCUAAUCGUUGGUCAGAUCUGGUGCCAAGAAAGCGUUAUUGGGGCUUGCAUCCUCCCCCCAAGCCUCUUGAAGAAGUUAUUGACGAUGGACUGGUAACACUUCAGCGAGCAUUGUUUCUCAAAAAGGCAGGUGUGGACACAGUUGUGGAUGAAGAUUUCCUUUCAAAUCCUCCAACUAGAGCUGAUCUGUUGGAACUAGCUAUCAGAAAUAUUAUCAGGUACCUUUGUGUUUCGCGAGAGAAGAGCUUGUCUCCUGCAGAGAUGGAAGGAGUCGAUACUCUUCUGAUGUACCUUUAUAGAGCACUUGAUCUUGUUGAUGACAUGGAGAAGCUUGCAUCAUCUCAAAAUAGCUGUGUUGUGGACGAACUGGAAUCACUCUUGGACAACUCUGGACAUCUGCGGACGCUUGCUUUCUUAUAUGGCAGUAAGGGAAUGUGCUCCCAAGCUGUUGCUAUCUGGCGUAUCUUAGCAAGGAAUUACAGCACAGGUUUGUGGAAGGACCGUCCUAAUCUGCCUGGAACGGACUCCCAGGAAACUUCGGCUGAUAAAAAAUCUGGUGAGGAAAUUGCUGCUAUCGAAGCCUCCAAGAUACUUCAAGCAACAUCUGAUCAGGACCUUGUUUUGGAACAUCUUGGAUGGGUUGCAGACAUUGAUCAAGACCUUGCAACUGCAAUUUUAACAUCUGAGAUGAGGGAAAAACAGCUUUCUUCUGAAAAGGUUAUUGCUGCCCUUGAUUCAGAAAAGGUUGGGAUUCACCAAAGAUAUUUGCAGUGGUUGAUUGAGGAUCAGGGUUGUGAGGACCCUCACUAUCACACGUCAUAUGCACUAUUGCUGUCGAAAUCUGCCAUGGAAGCAUUUCAUAUGGAGUCCAAUUCCGGAGAGAAAAAUGAUAAAGAAAUCGACUCGGACAUACAGUUCAUUUAUUCAUUGAGGGAAAGAUUGCAAUUAUUUUUGCAAGCUUCGGACUUGUAUGAUCCAGAAGAUGUGCUUGAUGUGAUAGCAGAAUCUGAGCUAUGGCUGGAAAAGGCCAUUUUGUAUAGGAAGAUGGGCCAAGAGAACAUUGUACUUCAGAUACUAGCACUGAAACUGGAGGAUAGCGAAGCUGCUGAGCAGUACUGUGCAGAGAUUGGUCGAGACGAUGCUUAUAUUCAGCUUUUGGAUUUGUAUUUGGACCCGAAAAAUGGGAGAGAACCGAUGUUUACAGCAGCUGUCCGACUUCUUCAUAAUCAUGGGAAAUCUUUGGAUCCCAUACAAGUAUUGGAGAGAUUAUCCUCAGAUAUGCCUCUCCAGCUAGCUUCAGAUACAAUAUUGCGAAUGCUAAGAGCUCGGGUGCACCAUCAUCGCCAAGGGCAGAUAGUUCAUAAUUUAUCACGCGCGACGAACGUUGAUGCACGGUUGACAAGAUUGGAGGAGAGGUCAAGGCAUGUGCAGCUAACCGAUGAGAGUAUCUGCGAUUCAUGUAGAGCUCGGCUUGGCACCAAGCUAUUCGUCAUGUACCCAGAUGACUCGGUUGUUUGCUACAGGUGCUACCGAAACCAAGGCGAUUCUGUCUCCGCACGGGGCCGUAACUUCAGGAAAGAUGCUAUAUUCAAACAAAGCUGGCUCGUCAGUAGAUAG